rnacentral:sRNA from 1 species
CAUCUUGUCAUCUUCAUCAGGCGAGAUUUAAUUUGGUUCUGCUCUAACCCAGAAGAUGAUAUCAUAUCUCUCCGAGCUUUGACCAUGGUAAAAACUAAAGGCGCUAUUGGCAUCAGCAUGAGACUGUUUGGAACUUCUUAUUUGUUCAUUAACUGUCACCUGACCUCUGAUAGAGAUAAUGACAUUUCUCGCAAGAAACUCAGACUGGAGAAUUAUUUCAAAGUGAUCAGGAAAUGCGACUUCCCAAAACAGUUCAGA